AUUUCAUAGUGAAAUAUUUAGUUUCCCUCUUUUCAUCAUCAAACCCUUUACCUUCAAAAUUUUAGUUUCCCUCCUAUCACUCUCAAACAUCAUACCCAAUUCAUCCUCAAACCGCACAAUGAACCUAAUUUCCGGUGAUCGUUAUGUGGUUCAGUCGCCAGAAGGGUUCAAUCGGCGUGUAAGAGUGCUUCAAUCGCCCUAGUUAAUUAUUGUUCUUCAAUUGAUUAAGUAGACAAACAGAUGUGGUUCUGAAAGGCUUUUUUAAACAAAUUAUUACUCUGUAUAACAAUUACCGUCGAUGCUUGAGAACAGUACCAAUCGACCAAAUUUGCAUCUUAUUUAUGGUACUGCCACAUAUUCCUUUUUUGUCCAUCAGAGAGAGACCAGAGAAUCGGCUAAAGGGAGAAGAAGAAAGAAAGAGAAUCGAAGCGAUAGAGAGAGAAAGCAUGAACGGAAGGGGAUCCGGCCAAGCCUACGGCCGACCACCCUGUUUCGGUGACUGUCGACGGCUUAUGCCCCUGUUCUAGCGGCAACAGGUGUGGUUGAUAGCAGAAGUUAUGGCGAUGAUGGACUCAAACGGAAGGAGACACUGAGGUUAUAGAGGUCAGCAGUUAAGGUGUUCCAACAGAAAUCCGGUGAAUAAGAUCUGUCGUGCGUGUCCCGCUUUGGUGUACAUCGACAAACACCGAGGUACCGCUAUGUUUAUUCAUUGCAACAUUUGCUGAAUGAUUACCCUUCAUUCAUAGCAGUUAAAGUCGGAAGACGCUCUCAAGGCGCAAAAAGUGAACACCACAUACAAAAAAAAGCGCAAGCUUUUUAUGCUAUAAUACUUCCAGAUAUUCGUUCGAACUAGUGAACACUCAUUGUUCAUUACAACAAUGUGACAACUCAGGAUCAGAAGAUUUCUUCAAUCAUUAAUCAGUGCACCAUGAAGUAAUUACUACUGCAAAGCUUUGCUUAUAUUUAUUUGAAAAGACUUGAAACUAUGUAUCAGAGGUAAGUUUUAUGUAUAUAUUUUAUUGUAGCCGCUUUGCAAAUACUCAUACAUGCAGCAUCAAAAGACAUCUUGGAAAAAAAGAUUCUUUCCUUGCGGUAUAUGUCCGUGUUUGUCUUUUGCUUACGUUUUACGUUACGUUUACAAGCUCGUGAUUUAUCAGAAUUUUUUUUUGGUUUUAGUCGUCGAUACUUUGCAUAAUACUGUGCACGGUUUUACGACUCACGCCCCCGCAACACGGAGGUUAAACACUAGUUCUAUAUAACAUUUCAAUAGUUAGAUGGAGCUAGACAAAAAUUACAUGAAUGUCUUGCCUAUCAAACCUGAAAAUUAGUUAACAAACCUGAUCGAACUAGACAACAAGGAGAUUCAAGGCUGUUAAUGGUCAUCAGUGAGUUCCAUAUCAUUGAGAGCCUAGUAUAUAUACGUUGUCAUUAAUUUUUAUCUUUGCUUAGUGAUCAUUACAUCAUAGUUGUCAAAAGCGCAAAAGGCGCGCGCCUAGGCGCUCGGGCGCAGCGAGUCGCGCCUAUAGCGCCUGGUGGUAGCUUAGGCGUAAAAAUGUUUUUUUUUUUUUUUUUUUUGUAAAAACGGUGCUCAGGCGCAAAAGGCGCGCGCCUAGACAAUUUAUUUAUGACUAGUAUUUUCUAUUUAGAGUUUUCUAUUAGCUAAGUCGUUUAUAUUAAUGUGUAUCUAGAAGUGUUGUUCGCGCGUUAAGGAAAUGUGCAUGUCUCAAAAAAGUAUGCACACAGCCGACCCAAAAAAUUUUGCUAGAAUUCGCGAAGAAGUGAAGAGAUGCAUAGAAAUGAUGACUCAAACAAGGAAUUACCUAGUUAAACCAAAAUGUUUGAAGGUGCACCUACAAGGACCAAGGGUUGGGCAUACGAUGACACUGCGAUGAAAAUUGAACAAUUGAAGAACUUCAAAGCUCCAGGAGAUGGAAGUGCUUUGGUUGAUCAUUUUACAGACGGCACUUUUGACUUUAUGGCGGAUGUAUUCCUAAAAUAACGAUGAAAAAAUGGAUGGUGGCGUGGAUCCGUGGAAUCAUACAUAAUUUCGGGUGGGUUUAUGGAAUCAUUCAACGCGAGUCUUGAAGUUGAAAGAACACAACAAUGCGAAAAGAAAUUGAAUGGGCCAUCACAUGAAAAAAAACCUAAGCUAGAAGCUAUGUAGAAAGAUUAUGACAACCAACAAGCAAACUUUGAAGUUACGAUGCGAAGUAUUAUGGAAAAGCUACCUAAUGGAGUAUUAUAGGAUCUUGGAGAUGAUUAGGAGGUUUUCUUUACUUUUUAUCAUUGUACUUCACAACUUUAUUAUGAUUACAUUGUUCUUUUGAUUUUGGACACCUUUUAUAUUACGAUAUAAGAUUAUCUUAUAUGAUUAUGUUA